rnacentral:rRNA from 1 species
AUGGGGUUCCGAUAUAUGAGACCUUUUAACCAAGCUUUGCUUGCCAAUCAAGCGUGGAGAUUAUUGGACAGCCCUGAUAGCCUAUGUGCCCUCUUUCUUCGGGCAAAGUAUUAUCCUAACGGGAACUUGUUGGACACAAUGUUCCCUACAUCAUCGUCAGCAGUGUGGAGAGGCAUCACACAUGGCUUGGAGCUGCUCAAGAAGGGGCUGAUAUGGAGAGUAGGGGACGAAAUCUUUGCUUAA